rnacentral:rRNA from 1 species
GAUGAACGCUAGCGGCAGGCUUAAUACAUGCAAGUCGAGGGGCAGCAUGAUUGUAGCAAUACAAUUGAUGGCGACCGGCAAACGGGUGCGGAACACGUACACAACCUUCCAACAAGUGGGGGAUAGCCCAGAGAAAUUUGGAUUAAUACCCCGUAACAUAGCGAUGUGGCAUCACAUUGCUAUUAUAGAUUUUUCGCUUGUUGAUGGGUGUGCGGCUGAUUAGAUAGUUGGCGGGGUAACGGCCCACCAAGUCUACGAUCAGUAGCUGAUGUGAGAGCAUGAUCAGCCACACGGGAACUGAGUCACGGGCCCGACUCCUACGGGAGGCAGCAGUAAGGAAUAUUGGACAAUGGACGCAAGUCUGAUCCAGCCAUGCCGCGUGAAGGAUUAAGGUCCUCUGGAUUGUAAACUUCUUUUAUAAGGGACGAAAAAAGGCUUUUCUAAGUCGUCUGACGGUACCUUAUGAAUAAGCACCGGCUAACUACGUGCCAGCCGCCGCGGUAACAC